GUCCACGCCGUAAACGGUGGAUGCUGGAUGUGGGGACCAUUCCACGGUCUCCGUGUCGGAGCCAACGCGUUAAGCAUCCCGCCUGGGGAGUACGGCCGCAAGGCUAAAACUCAAAGAAAUUGACGGGGGCCCCGCACAAGCGGCGGAGCAUGCGGAUUAAUUCGAUGCAACGCGAAGAACCUUACCUGGGCUUGACAUGUUCCCGACAGCCCCAGAGAUGGGGCCUCCCUUCGGGGCGGUUCACAGGUUGUGCAUGGUCGUCGU
rnacentral:rRNA from 1 species